rnacentral:rRNA from 1 species
GCUGGCGGCGUGCUUAACACAUGCAAGUCGAACGAUGAAAGCAGGAGCUUGCUUCUGCUGGAUUAGUGGCGAACGGGUGAGUAACACGUGAGUAACCUGCCCUUGACUCUGGGAUAAGCGUUGGAAACGACGUCUAACACCGGAUACGAGCUAGGACCGCAUGGUCACUAGUUGGAAAGAAUUUUGGUCAAGGAUGGACUCGCGGCCUAUCAGCUAGUUGGUGAGGUAACGGCCCACCAAGGCGACGACGGGUAGCCGGCCUGAGAGGGUGACCGGCCACACUGGGACUGAGACACGGCCCAGACUCCUACGGGAGGCAGCAGUGGGGAAUAUUGCACAAUGGGCGAAAGCCUGAUGCAGCAACGCCGCGUGAGGGACGACGGCCUUCGGGUUGUAAACCUCUUUUAGCAGGGAAGAAGCGAAAGUGACGGUACCUGCAGAAAAAGCACCGGCUAACUACGUGCCAGCAGCCGCGGUAAUACGUAGGGUGCAAGCGUUGUCCGGAAUUAUUGGGCGUAAAGAGCUCGUAGGCGGUUUGUCGCGUCUGCUGUGAAAAUCCGAGGCUCAACCUCGGACCUGCAGUGGGUACGGGCAAACUAGAGUGCGGUAGGG